UACGAAGGGGGCUAGCGUUGCUCGGAAUCACUGGGCGUAAAGCGCACGUAGGCGGAUUGCUAAGUCAGGGGUGAAAUCCUGGAGCUCAACUCCAGAACUGCCCUUGAUACUGGCGGUCUCGAGUCCGGAAGAGGUGAGUGGAACUCCGAGUGUAGAGGUGAAAUUCGUAGAUAUUCGGAAGAACACCAGUGGCGAAGGCGGCUCACUGGUCCGGUACUGACGCUGAGGUGCGAAAGCGUGGGGAGCAAACAGG
rnacentral:rRNA from 1 species